GACGAACGCUGGCGGCGUGCUUAACACAUGCAAGUCGAACGGAAAGGCCCUGCUUUUGUGGGGUGCUCGAGUGGCGAACGGGUGAGUAACACGUGAGUAACCUGCCCUUGACUUUGGGAUAACUUCAGGAAACUGGGGCUAAUACCGGAUAGGAGCUCCUGCUGCAUGGUGGGGGUUGGAAAGUUUCGGCGGUUGGGGAUGGACUCGCGGCUUAUCAGCUUGUUGGUGGGGUAGUGGCUUACCAAGGCUUUGACGGGUAGCCGGCCUGAGAGGGUGACCGGCCACAUUGGGACUGAGAUACGGCCCAGACUCCUACGGGAGGCAGCAGUGGGGAAUAUUGCACAAUGGGCGGAAGCCUGAUGCAGCAACGCCGCGUGCGGGAUGACGGCCUUCGGGUUGUAAACCGCUUUCGCCUGUGACGAAGCGUGAGUGACGAUAAUGGGUAAAGAAGCACCGGCUAACUACGUGCCAGCAGCCGCGGUGAUACGUAGGGUGCGAGCGUUGUCCGGAUUUAUUGGGCGUAAAGGGCUCGUAGGUGGUUGAUCGCGUCGGAAGUGUAAUCUUGGGGCUUAACCCUGAGCGUGCUUUCGAUACGGGUUGACUUGAGGAAGGUAGGGGAGAAUGGAAUUCCUGGUGGAGCGGUGGAAUGCGCAGAUAUCAGGAGGAACACCAGUGGCGAAGGCGGUUCUCUGGGCCUUUCCUGACGCUGAGGAGCGAAAGCGUGGGGAGCGAACAGGCUUAGAUACCCUGGUAGUCCACGCUGUAAACGGUGGGUACUAGGUGUGGGGUCCAUUCCACGGGUUCCGUGCCGUAGCUAACGCUUUAAGUACCCCGCCUGGGGAGUACGGCCGCAAGGCUAAAACUCAAAGGAAUUGACGGGGCCCCGCACAAGCGGCGGAGCAUGCGGAUUAAUUCGAUGCAACGCGUAGAACCUUACCUGGGUUUGACAUGGAUCGGGAGUGCUCAGAGAUGGGUGUGCCUCUUUUGGGGUCGGUUCACAGGUGGUGCAUGCCUGUCGUCAGCUCGUGUCGUGAGAUGUUGGGUUAAGUCCCGCAACGAGCGCAACCCUUGUUCACUGUUGCCAGCACGUUAUGGUGGGGACUCAGUGGAGACCGCCGGGGUCAACUCGGAGGAAGGUGGGGAUGACGUCAAGUCCUCAUGCCCCUUAUGUCCAGGGCUUCACGCAUGCUACAAUGGCUGGUACAGAGAGUGGCGAGCCUGUGAGGGUGAGCGAAUCUCGGAAAGCCGGUCUCAGUUCGGAUUGGGGUCUGCAACUCGACCUCAUGAAGUCGGAGUCGCUAGUAAUCGCAGAUCAGCAACGCUGCGGUGAAUACGUUCCCGGG
rnacentral:rRNA from 1 species